AUGCAGUUCGAGCGGACCGAACGGAAGCUUGCUUCUGUUCGGUUAGCGGCGGACGGGUGAGUAACACGUGGGUAACCUGCCCGUAAGACCGGGAUAACUCCGGGAAACCGGGGCUAAUACCGGAUAACACCGAAGACCGCAUGGUCUUCGGUUGAAAGGUGGCUUUUGCUACCACUUACGGAUGGGCCCGCGGCGCAUUAGCUAGUUGGUGAGGUAACGGCUCACCAAGGCGACGAUGCGUAGCCGGCCUGAGAGGGUGACCGGCCACACUGGGACUGAGACACGGCCCAGACUCCUACGGGAGGCAGCAGUAGGGAAUCUUCCGCAAUGGACGAAAGUCUGACGGAGCGACGCCGCGUGAGCGAAGAAGGUCUUCGGAUCGUAAAGCUCUGUUGUUAGGGAAGAAGAAGUACCGUUCGAAUAGGGCGGUACGGUGACGGUACCUAACGAGAAAGCCCCGGCUAACUACGUGCCAGCAGCCGCGGUAAUACGUAGGGGGCGAGCGUUGUCCGGAAUUAUUGGGCGUAAAGCGCGCGCAGGCGGUCCCUUAAGUCUGAUGUGAAAGCCCACGGCUCAACCGUGGAGGGUCAUUGGAAACUGGGGGACUUGAGUGCAGAAGAGGAGAGCGGAAUUCCACGUGUAGCGGUGAAAUGCGUAGAGAUGUGGAGGAACACCAGUGGCGAAGGCGGCUCUCUGGUCUGUAACUGACGCUGAGGCGCGAAAGCGUGGGGAGCAAACAGGAUUAGAUACCCUGGUAGUCCACGCCGUAAACGAUGAGUGCUAAGUGUUAGAGGGGUUUUCCCUUUAGUGCUGUAGCUAACGCGUUAAGCACUCCGCCUGGGGAGUACGGCCGCAAGCUUGAAACUCAAAGGAAUUGACCGGGGCCCGCACAGCGGGUGGAGCAUGUGGUUUAAUUCGAAGCAACGCGAAGAACCUUACCAGGUCUUGACAUCCCCUGACAACCCUGGAGACAGGGCGUUCCCCCUUCGGGGGGACAGGGUGACAGGUGGUGCAUGGUUGUCGUCAGCUCGUGUCGUGAGAUGUUGGGUUAAGUCCCGCAACGAGCGCAACCCUCGCCCCUAGUUGCCAGCAUUCAGUUGGGCACUCUAGGGGGACUGCCGGUGACAAACCGGAGGAAGGUGGGGAUGACGUCAAAUCAUCAUGCCCCUUAUGACCUGGGCUACACGUGCUACAAUGGGCGGUACAAAGGGCUGCGAACCCGCGAGGGGGAGCGAAUCCCAAAAAGCCGCUCUCAGUUCGGAUUGCAGGCUGCAACUCGCCUGCAUGAAGCCGGAAUCGCUAGUAAUCGCG
rnacentral:rRNA from 1 species